UAUAAUUUUGUUUUGUUUUUGCUAUAUUACUUGGUACAUUCACCUUUGUCUUAGAACUGAUGAACUCCCUUAUGCAGUCAGACCCGUACUGUAGACAGCCUCCAAAAAAUAUAACCUGCUUACUAUGGUCACACGUCACCUGUCUUGAGAAAAUAUAUGUUUUCACAAAUACCGGCAUUUUUCAGUCCCCAAGGGAGGUUCUGCAGCCGGGUUUGACUGUAUAUAUAUAUAAAUACCCUAGCACCCACCCAUAAAUUAAACGUAUCAACGUUACAUUGUUUAUCAAUUGUUAAUCUGUAGACACUUAUAAAAGACUUACUGCAGCAUAACAGGCAAUUAAAAGGCAAAUUAUAUAACGCUGUGAAUAGAGUUUGACAAUAUUUAAGCAUUGAUUUUCAGUACUGUGGUUUUAUUGGAUCGGUUUGGAGAAUUAAACUAGGUACAAAUUUGGUGCGGUCGAGAAUUAUGGCUGUUCAAAUACGCCUUGCGUAUAUUGUCAUCCUACUUACCAUUUUGAAUCUCACGCUGUGCCUACCUUUUAGUCAUGUUGGUCCUCGCGGUUCUCCUAUUGGUCUUCAAAGUAACUUGGUUUCCUCAAAGGAAGAAAUGUUUCUUACACGUGUGCGCAGGCAUCUACACAAAGAUGCAAGCCAGCAGAUGAAUGUGGUUCUGCAGACGACAGAAUAAUGAAGAACAUAUUUCAACGAAGGCUAACAAGACAUUCUAGAUAACUAACAAGUAGACAUGUAAAGAGUUUAGCUGCAACCCUGAAGAAAUAUUAAACAUUGACAAAUAUACAUUCAUAAAGUGUAUUGAGAGCGAUCGUGAACACUGACAAAUAUACAUUCAAUAAAUACAUUGAACGUGAUCGUGGUAUGUGUUUUAACAAAUAUAGUAGUAUGUAUCGUCAUUUCAAAAUAAUCAUGACUGUUCUCUGUACAUUCAAAAAGUUCUAUUUAACUGUUUUAAACAAAGAUUAACAACUAAACUAUUUUAAACUUUUGCAGUAGUUUACCUGUCAAUAUUAUCAUACUUUUUGUAAUUUGACAUUCCACUUCUUCAGUUUGGAACAGGCUUUUGUCUUAAACUAACUGUAUAUACAUGCUAUAACAGUUUAGCCAUAUAAUUCUGUUGAAUAAAGUUAGCAAGAAG